rnacentral:rRNA from 1 species
GACGUAGGGCGCGAGCGUUGUCCGGAUUUAUUGGGCGUAAAGAGCUCGUAGGCGGCUUGUCGCGUCGACUGUGAAAACCCACGGCUUAACUGUGGGCUUGCAGUCGAUACGGGCAGGCUAGAGUUCGGUAGGGGAGACUGGAAUUCCUGGUGUAGCGGUGAAAUGCGCAGAUAUCAGGAGGAACACCGGUGGCGAAGGCGGUUCUCUGGGCAUGUCCUGACGCUGAGGAGCGAAAGUGUGGGGAGCGAACAGG